UGCAGAAUCCCGUGAACCAUCGAGUCUUUGAACGCAAGUUGCGCCCGAGGCCAUUAGGUCGAGGGCACGUCUGCCUGGGCGUC
rnacentral:rRNA from 1 species